ACCAAUGGCAUAUGGAAGUUCCCAGCCCAGGGAUUGAAUGAGACACAGCUGCAACCUAUGCCACAGCUGCAGCAAUGUCAGAUCUUUCUAACCCACUGCACCAGGCUGGGGAUCAAACCCAUACCUCUGCAAGUGACUCAGGAGACUAAGUCAGAUUCUUAACCCCCUGUGGCAUGGUCGGAUGCCCAUUUAGUUCUUCUUUAGAUCUUCUAUUUCUUUGCUAAAGCUUUCUGGUUUUUUCAGUUACUUCAAGCAUAUGCAUAAUUUUUGUUAGGGCAUUUUUAUUAUGGCUGCUUUAAAAUAGUUUUCAGGUUAUCCUGACAUCUCUGUCCUUUAGACGGUAGCAGCUACGGAUGGUCUUUUUUCAUUCAGUUUGAGAUCUUCUCUGUUCUUGGUAUGAAGAGUGAUUUUGAAUGACAUGAACAUUUAAAAAUUAUUUUAUGGGACUCUGGAUCUUAUUUAUUUAUGUAUUGCUUGACGUGGGAUCCCAAGUCCCAGACCGGGGGAUCCAGUUGGGAUGCAGCAGUGAAUGCGCUGAAUCCUAGCCACUAGACCACCAGGGAACUCCCUAUGGAUGUUAUUUAAGCCUUCUGUGUCAGCUGGCUUUUCCUGCCACUGCUCUGGCAGGAAAAGGGGAGGUGCUUCCCCUUUCCUGGCAGGUGGAGGUAGAAGUUCAAGUUUCCUCUUCAGCCUCUGUUGACGACUGAGGGCUGAGGGUGGGAGUUCCACUGCCUCACGUGGUCUCCACUGCCACCUCAGCGAUGAUGGCCUGACUGCUGCAGAAGUGAGUGGAAUUCUGACUCUCAAGGACACCACCCCAGCAGGGAGGGGGAGGGAGGCCGAAUUCCUGCCAAUCUGGCUGGAAGUCAGGUUUCCACGUGGUAUCCUGGAGUGGACCCUGCGUGUGGGAGGCCUCAUUACCAGCUGGCUGGGGUGAAAGUCCCCACUCCCUACCUGGCCCUCUCCGCAACCACCCUGGCAGGGAUGUUGAGUGCCUGUGAUUGGCCUGGGGAGAGUGGAAAGCUAGGCUCACCACUUAGCCUUCGCUGGUGUGGGUGUGGGUGGGGCCACAGCUUUUGUGUAAUAUUUGGCUGGAAUCGAGUGGUUCUUUCUGAAGUUUUCUGCCUUGUCAGGCUGCCCCUUUCCUGGGGAGAAAGGCAGGCCUUCGUUGGGGCUGGGUCUGCAGUGUCUCCAGGUUGCGGCCUUCCUUACCUCCAAGCCUGGGACACUCAGGGCAAAAAGAAAAGCCAGGGAAGCCCAUUGCUGUGCUGUUUGUUCCUUGGGUCCUGAGGUCCCUGGCCAUUCUGCCUUCUCUUCACCUUCCUCUUCUUAACAUUUCUUUGUCUGUGGUUUCCAGGGCUUUAGUUGCUGUAUUUAGCAGGAGGAAUAGGAAAAAGCACAUCGACUCUGUUUUCCCAGGAGCAGAGAUCUCUCAGCCAGAAAAGGAGGAUUUACGGGAAAGCUACCGAGGUACGUCAUUCAGUCAAAGGAAUGGUUGGGCAGCCGGCCUGCAGGAGGAGACAGGCACAGCUGGGCCUCAGGAAUUUCUGGAACUGGCGCCGGGGUGCUGGAGGCCCUUGCUUGUCUCGACUCGUCCUCCUCGUGUGCAUCAGUCGCAUUCUCUCUCUCUCUCCACGUGAAAUUCGAGGAAUGAAUGCGGCCACCUCAUGCAUCAAAAUUUCACAUCUCGUGGCUCCUCCAGCAGAAGGAGCCAGACUUCCUGAGCUCCUGUUUGACCAAACGUUCGGGAAGAUCUUCCUUUGGCCCGGCUUGGGCCAGGUGUGCUCCUGGACCCACUGACUCCGGUCGGGUCAGGGAGUGUCUCUAAGGACCUGGCAGCUUCUGGGGGGUCACAAGGAUGCAGAGGAAUGCCUCUCGGCAAAAUGGAGGGUGCUGGAAAGAUAACACGUUGGUUUAUUCUUA